UGGGUUAGUGGCGGACGGUGAGUAACGCGUGGGUAACCUGCCUUACACAGGGGGAUAACACUUAGAAAUAGGUGCUAAAACCGCAUAAGCGCACAGCUUCGCAUGAAGCGGUGUGAAAAACUCCGGUGGUGUAAGAUGGACCCGCGUCUGAUUAGCUUGUUGGCGGGGUAACGGCCCACCAAGGCGACGAUCAGUAGCCGGCCUGAGAGGGCGGACGGCCACAUUGGGACUGAGACACGGCCCAGACUCCUACGGAAGGCAGCAG
rnacentral:rRNA from 1 species